UCCGGUAGGGGUGCCUGCGGAGGGAUCAUUACACAACAAAAAUAUGAGGGUGUGGUUUGCUGGCAACAGCGUCCGCCCCAAGUAUUUUUCACCCAUGUCUUUUGCGCACUUUUUGUUUCCUGGGCGAGUUCGCUCGCCACCAGGACCCAACCAUAAACCUUUUUUUAUGCAGUUGCAAUCAGCGUCAGUAUAAUAAUUCAAUUUAUUAAAACUUUCAACAACGGAUCUCUUGGUUCUGGCAUCGAUGAAGAACGCAGCGAAAUGCGAUACGUAGUGUGAAUUGCAGAAUUCAGUGAAUCAUCGAAUCUUUGAACGCACAUUGCGCCCUUUGGUAUUCCAAAGGGCAUGCCUGUUCGAGCGUCAUUUGUACCCUCAAGCUUUGCUUGGUGUUGGGCGUCUUUUUGUCUCUCCCCUUGUUGGGGGAGACUCGCCUUAAAACGAUUGGCAGCCGACCUACUGGUUUUCGGAGCGCAGCACAAAUUUGCGCCUUCCAAUCCACGGGGCGGCAUCCAGCAAGCCUUUGUUUUCUAUAACAAAUCCACAUUUUGACCUCGGAUCAGGUAGGGAUACCCGCUGAACUUAAGCAUAUCAUAGGC
rnacentral:rRNA from 1 species